UAAUGAACACAAUUUAGCAAAAAAAGAAAAUUAUAAAAAAAUGCUCAAAUGUAAUUUUAAUUAUAUGAAUGUAGUGCAAAUUAAAUAAACAAUAUACAGCAUUAGUUUCAUUAGUGUGUAUAUUAGUAAGUGUUGUCUUCCACCUGCAGGGGCAAAGGUGACGUCCACAGAUCUGCCGGAUGUUUUGGGGAAUCUGAGACACAACUUGAACCGUAACACCAGAGGACUGUGCAGACACGAGCCGCUUGUGACCGAGCUCUGCUGGGGGCAACAGCUGGACGAGCGAUUCCCGCUUAACACCUGCCACUACGACUACAUCAUGGCCGCAGACAUGGUGUACGCACAUCCACACCUGCAGCAGCUUCGUGGACACAUUUGAGAAGCACUUUCACCUGGAGGACCUUUAUAACCUGCCCAGCCUGCGGAUAAAGCUGUCCCGAGCACAAAAACGACACAAUAUAUUACAGGAUGUUCAUUGAUGGACUGGAGAUUUUAUCAGACUCUCAUUCUGACGGCACCCAUUCACUGCAGAGCAUCCAUUGAUGACACACUGAUAUAAUGUUACAUUUCUACAAACCUGAUGAAGAAACAAACUCAUCCUGAUCUUGUACCGCCAGAGGGUGAACACAUUAAAAAAUUUUUGUUUUUGUGAAUUAUUCCUGUAAGUGUCCAUCAAUAAUACGUAAUAAUGUGAGAAAGAAGCAUCUCCGUUGUGAUCUGUGGAGAAUUUCAUGUGUACUUCAAGAACUUGAUGAUGAAGAAUUGUAUGAUGUCUGUAAGUCAAUCAUUUGUGAGCACUGAGGUUAUUUUGACAUGAUCAUGUUUUUCAUUACAUUCACUCUCUUAAGUGUUCGAUACAGAAAUGUAACUUUUACAACUUAAGCAUUUUCAAUAUUUGGAAAUAAACGUGAAACAUUCUGAGUCAGGUUUCUUUUUCUAAACACAGCUUCUGAAACUCUACAGUGUUUACAGGCUUUUCUAGUUUGGAGCUUCUAGAAGAAAGCAGAACUGAUUUCUUGUGUGGUUUCCAAGUUAAGAAGAAGCAGAUGUGUCUAUGACUAACGGCACAUAGCAGUAAUGGAUCACAAACAUGUUUUGGUUCUUCUGAGGGGAGCAGCCUAUUUGGACCAUGUAUGCAUGUCUGAUUCACGGAGAUAUUUGAUCCUGGGAUCAAGUGCUGGAGUCUGGCAGGGCCAUUACAUGAUGAAAACACACGUACACCACAUAUAGUCCACAUAAACACACCCCCGCAGAAGAGAGAUUUAGAAAACAUCCCAAUGCAGGACAGCCAAUCAUUUCAACAUAAUUUCUUCAUGCAUGCAUCUGCCAAAAUCAUGAGAUCAGGCCCUACAUGGUAAAGGAUGUUCAACCGCCCCCACACAACAAACUGGAGAGAUUUAGGGCGAUGACCUCAUGUGUCCUCCAGAGAUAUAAUGAGUGUUAUACUGGGUUUCCCUUCUGUGGAAUCCAUUUAGUGCAUACCAGCUGCCUAGACUCAUAGAAACCAACAGGAAUGGAAUAAAUGGGCAA